rnacentral:rRNA from 1 species
UACGUAGGGGGCAAGCGUUGUCCGGAAUCAUUGGGCGUAAAGAGCGCGUAGGCGGCCCUGUAAGUCCGCUGUGAAAGUCAAGGGCUCAACCCUUGAAUGCCGGUGGAUACUGCAGGGCUAGAGUCCGGAAGAGGCGAGUGGAAUUCCUGGUGUAGCGGUGAAAUGCGCAGAUAUCAGGAGGAACACCGAUGGCGAAGGCAGCUCGCUGGGACGGUACUGACGCUGAGGCGCGAAGGCGUGGGGAGCAAACAGG